GAUGAAGAACGCAGCGAAAUGCGAUACGUAAUGUGAAUUGCAGAAUUCAGUGAAUCAUCGAAUCUUUGAACGCAUAUUGCGCUCUCUGGUAUUCCGGAGGGCAUGCUUGUUUGAGUAUCAGUAAACACCUCAACUUCCAUAUCUUUUUUGAAAUGGGAGUUGGACUUGAGUGAUCCCAACGCUUUUCCUCACCGAAAAGUGGCGGGUUACUUGAAAUGCAGGUGCAGCUGGACUUUUCUCUGAGCUAUACGCAUAUCUAUUUAGUCUGCCUAAAAAACAGAUUAUUACCUUUGCUGCAGCUAACAUAAAGGAGAUUAGUUCUUGUGCUGACUGAUGCAGGAUUCACAAAGACGGCUUCGGCCGACUUUGUAAACUCGAUCUCAAAUCAAGUAAGACUACCCGCUGAACUUAAGCAUAUCAAUAAGCGGAGGA
rnacentral:misc_RNA from 1 species